rnacentral:rRNA from 1 species
AGAGUUUGAUCCUGGCUCAGGAUGAACGCUGGCGGCGUGCUUAACACAUGCAAGUCGAACGAACCUUAGGGUUAGUGGCGGACGGGUGAGUAACGCGUGAGAAUCUGCCCUCAGGAGGGGGAUAACGGCUGGAAACGGCCGCUAAUACCCCAUAUGCCGAGAGGUGAAAUGAAUUUCGCCUGAGGAUGAGCUCGCGUCUGAUUAGCUAGUUGGUGGGGUAAGAGCCUACCAAGGCAUCGAUCAGUAGCUGGUCUGAGAGGAUGAUCAGCCACACUGGGACUGAGACACGGCCCAGACUCCUACGGGAGGCAGCAGUGGGGAAUUUUCCGCAAUGGGCGAAAGCCUGACGGAGCAACGCCGCGUGAGGGAUGAAGGCCUCUGGGCUGUAAACCUCUUUUAUCAAGGAAGAAGAUCUGACGGUACUUGAUGAAUAAGCCACGGCUAAUUCCGUGCCAGCAGCCGCGGUAAUACGGGAGUGGCAAGCGUUAUCCGGAAUUAUUGGGCGUAAAGCGCCCGCAGGCUCCUGAUAAGUCUGUUGUCAAAGCGUGGAGCUCAACUCCAUUUCGGCAAUGGAAACUGUGAGGCUUGAGUGUGGUAGGGGCAGAGGGAAUUCCCGGUGUAGCGGUGAAAUGCGUAGAUAUCGGGAAGAACACCAGUGGCGAAGGCGCUCUGCUGGGCCAUAACUGACGCUCAUGGACGAAAGCCAGGGGAGCGAAAGGGAUUAGAUACCCCUGUAGUCCUGGCCGUAAACGAUGAACACUAGGUGUCGGGGGAAUCGACCCCCUCGGUGUCGCAGCCAACGCGUUAAGUGUUCCGCCUGGGGAGUACGCACGCAAGUGUGAAACUCAAAGGAAUUGACGGGGGCCCGCACAAGCGGUGGAGUAUGUGGUUUAAUUCGAUGCAACGCGAAGAACCUUACCAGGGUUUGACAUCCUGCGAAUCCCUUGGAAACUUGGGAGUGCCUUCGGGAGCGCAGAGACAGGUGGUGCAUGGCUGUCGUCAGCUCGUGUCGUGAGAUGUUGGGUUAAGUCCCGCAACGAGCGCAACCCACGUCUUUAGUUGCCAGCAUUGAGUUGGGCACUCUAGAGAGACCGCCGGUGAUAAACCGGAGGAAGGUGUGGAUGACGUCAAGUCAUCAUGCCCCUUACAUCCUGGGCUACACACGUACUACAAUGCUACGGACAAAGGGCAGCAAACUCGCGAGAGCUAGCAAAUCCCAUAAACCGUGGCUCAGUUCAGAUCGUAGGCUGCAACUCGCCUACGUGAAGGAGGAAUCGCUAGUAAUCGCAGGUCAGCAUACUGCGGUGAAUACGUUCCCGGGCCUUGUACACACCGCCCGUCGCACCAUGGAAGUUGGCCACGCCCGAAGCCGUUACUCCAACCCUUGUGGAGGAGGACGUCGAAGGUGGGGCUGAUGACUGGGGUGAAGUCGAAACAAGGUA